CAAAUAACUAGAGAGGUUGAGGGCGGAAAAACCUAAAAUAUAUGCAUAUAUAUACACAGAAUAAUUCAACUUCAGUUCUUUUGUAAUGUAAUUUAAAUUAUAUAAAUUAGUCAUAGCUUUGUUUCUCCACACAUAUUAAAAUUGUGUAAAUUUUAUUUUUUACUUUAACUAGAGUGUCGAUUUUGUAUUAGACUUGCAAAAUACAGUUUAAGAGCACGGCUCAUUGAGAGACAUUGAAGUAAUAAUAAAGCUUGGUUUCGAGUCCGAAAAUUUAUGACAAGUGCAGUAAUUUACGAGAUACGCAGCCCCAGCUGAGAACUACAUAUUUUGCCACAUCGAGAGCAGACAUAACCAUUGUCCGCCGGUGGUCGAUUUAUAUUUCUUUUUCGCCGUCUACGUCUGUCCUCGGCAGCGGAUUUUCUACACAUCAGCCUAGAACUAAUAAAAACUUAGUUCCGAAGUCUAGUUUUUUUUUUCUCUAGAAGGAAGAAAACAGUAGUGUCUUCCAGGAAUUAUUAUAUGUGACUUGUAUUUUUUUUAGAAAACAGACCUUAUUAUUGUGUAACCUGUAACACCAAAAGCAAGUGUGCAUUAUCGAUUACAUAUUUUGAAAUAUUUGUAAAAGUAUUUUAUAUCAAAUAAUUUCAAAUAUGCACAUCUGUGCACGACAAUAAAUCAAACCAACGAUAUGGCUGAGGCAGCUGAGCUGAAAAAUGUCCGCUAUUGAGCACGAAGAUGAAUCAUAUUGCACCGACACAUCAG
rnacentral:sRNA from 1 species